UGGAUUCGAAUAGUAUUUUAGUAAUAAUCGAAUUUAUCAAAAACAGCGGAAGAAGUUGGGCUGGAGGUCAGCUACGCAAGUAUCAAAUGCUACUCAUCCUUAAACAUCUAUCACAUCUUAAUUUAUCCGAAAAAAGAAAAAAAAGAUUGGAAAUCCUCUCUCAAGGGAAAACAAAUGGCAACAACCACUCCAAGAAUGUUUUACUUGGAUUUCCCCCCAAGCCUUCAUAUUGCUUCAUCUUUCAGUCCUUUGAAGUUAUGACAAGCAAUCCCAAUGCGCCAAUAAGAAUGUACUUGAUGAUAGGCUUUUCAGUCAUGAUAAUUGUCACCCAACCAACAUAAGGUAAGAACCCAACAGCUCUCCCCAUGAUAUGGUGCCGUUGCAGCCAAAGCUGACCUUGAGCAUACAAAAGCCUGUCAUCCCCAUAAUUAUUAUCUCCUGAGAGAACAAGAUUAUGGUAAAACAUUAACAUAGUUAACAAAACACCAUAAAAUAACAAUUUUGAUGACGUUAGUAAAAUUUUUUAAGACAGCAGAAAAUUUGAAAACACAGGUAGGCAUUGUAAGAAGCAACUAUGUCAAUUUAGCAAAGUAAUCCUUAGAUCAAGACGCUGGCACCUUUUGUGAGGACCUCAACUUCCCCAGUAUCUUGCCUUUCAUGGACCUGCACAACAAUAAAUAUCAUGACUCAUCAGACAACAAGGUGAAAAUUUAAAUUUCCACUCCUAUUUUCAAGGAUGCAAAUUCAAUUCAAAAGCUGGUGCAGAACGUGCCACCAUAGUAAAAUAUCAAACAGAUAAUAACUCUAAUUCAUAGAUAGGUAAAUGGAGGACAUGGCCCACCUCCAUUUCCUCCCUUUCUAUCCCACUCUCCCAGCCACUCCCAGAUACGCACAAACAGAUUGUAAUCCAAAAUGUCCCUUAUAGUUUUAUUGUCAAGAGUAAGACUGUCUUAUCCAAAAGGAAUUUUUAGCACAGGUAAGAUGUCAAAAUAAGCAUGUACAGGGAACCAAAUCUUUACCUUGAUUACACGAUGGACAAUUGGAAUUUCACGGCCAUCUACAUUAAAAACAACAAUCUCCCCUGCACGAAUAGGAUCUUUACUCAUGUGCAAAAACAAAAUAUCCCCCCUCUUAAAGCCAGGCUCCAUACUUCCAGAUAGAACAACCACCACAGGAGACUCACUACCAGUGAUGCACAUCAAUGCCUUCCAUAUUAUUAGUGCAGAUGUAACAAUCAUUCCUGAAACCAAAAGCAGAUACUGAAUAGACCAUACUCUAGCAGAUGGGACACAACUAGAAAUCGUAAUUUUCAAUUUUUGUUCUUUAGAUGUGCAGCUUUCUUUACAAAGCCAAAUGUCUGUAGCACUAUCUGAUCAGAAUAUGUUAACACUAAUAUAGCAAAUUCCAAACCUUCAAAGUGGAGAGAAGACAACUUAAACCAUAUGCAUGCUAAACUUGAUCCAACCACAAAAUAUAGUAGUAGUACUUGAUUUUUCCUGAAAAACAAAUUCUCAAACGUGCAUAAUCUAAACAAAAAACCAUAAUUCCAAUGGAAUUUUGCAUCUAUCAGAUAAUGCUGAGUUAUUCCCAACAAAAUAAAAAAACCCAAGUCAACAUAAAGCCUACAAAUUGCACCAGUUCAUUAAGCUCAAUACUUCAUUAAGAUCCAGUUUUAGGCUUACCGCUCUUUAGUCUCAACUAUUAUACAAAAUAUUCCUCCCACCCUCAGUGUCAAUUACAGCUCCUUCGGGCAGUUACAAGAGAAUCACAGAAGCAAAUCAAGCCAAGGAAAAACACCAGUAAUAAAGUGCCAAACUUUAACUAUUGAAGGCCAAUUAACCAAAAAAAAUCAAAACUUUUUGACAAGUUAUAGUUCAAAUAUCUUAGCUACAUUCAAACAGCACCCAAAUUAAACUUUAGAAAUUACGAAUUCCUCUCAGUAUCUCCGCACCUCCAUUACUCGAUAUAAGAGGAGAAUUGCAUGAUCAUGCAUAUAUUUUUCACGCAUGCAUAAAAGUAGAGACUGACCUAGACUGACGGCCUGAGUGAGGAGCUGACGGAUCUGGAUGGAUUUAAUGGAAUCCACAGUAUCUCCGAUCCACCCCAUUUUCCUUCAGUUUCUUCUCUUCGCUUUCCUUUGUUUUUGCCCCCUGCGUUUUCACAAGGCUUUGAUGCCCUCCUUCACUUCGUUUCCUUUUUGGUUUUGCUCUGGUUUGUCUUCUCGUCUGGUAGGGUUUCG
rnacentral:misc_RNA from 1 species